CUACUGCAGCUGAGAUCAGCUAACAGCAGAGGCUGGAAAUGCAACUUGUAACUUCUUUUAUAUCAUACAGACAAAUCACUGAUGAAGACUUCAAGCAGAAUAGGAGACAAUGGAUAGAGCUGCUUCCUCUGUCGAAGAAGAUAAACUCAGUGGCCCUCCUGAUGUGAUCUAGACGCCAGAGUACACACCUUGGAUGAAAUCAAUAAUUGACCUACAACUUUUAGUUUCAUUGUAGGAGGCUGCCUUGUCAUGAGGUUGAAAAGCCUGGCAUGUUAAUUAUGAGAGCAAAAUCUUGGAUGUUCUAUUCUGAUUACUCUGUGUGUCUCCUAAGCAUCCAAUAUGUGUACAUGACAAUCCAAAGUAUGACAUUAGGUACGCCUGAAAUCAGCAAGUAGUUUUCAGUCUUUUUAGGAUCCUCCUUCAUAUGGCUGGAAACCACAACUGCAGUCUGGAAUAUUGAGUUUACUUGCCUCAAACCAAACCCUAUUUCCCAGAUGCAGAAGGGGCAGCAACAUGGCUAGUUAACGAUUCCUGGCACUGUUCUCCAUUCUGCCUCUCUUUUGCCCAGCGCAAUAGCUAACUGUUGAAAUUUGGCUUGCAUAUACUCCAAUGUGACUAUACAUUUUAUGUUGCUUUUUCCAGAAUAUUUUAUAGCAUUCUCUUUUGCACAUGUAGCCUGAUACUUUAUACAUUUAUGUUUCCUGUAUAAUUUAAAUGACUGAUCUCUGAAAAUUAAUGUCCCCAUAAGGUUUCCAGUACUUUUUAGUUGUUGAGCAUCAUUUCUUUACUAGUCAACAAGGGAAGUACCAGAUCACAUGGUCAAGCAGGCAUACUAAUUCCAUAUACAAUGUGAACAAGAGACAUUUGUGCAAUGUUCUGUGGUGAUCUCAUGGCAGUGGACAGUGAGCACGUGAAGUUUAAAUCCCUUGCUAAUUUGUUGACUAGCUGAUGUGAGUCCAACAAAUGCUGCAAGUUGACAUAUGUUGCAAAAACAUUCUAAGGGAAAAUAAAACCUUUACACUUCACCCUA